rnacentral:rRNA from 1 species
UACGAAGGGGGCUAGCGUUGUUCGGAAUUACUGGGCGUAAAGCGCACGCAGGCGGUGAUCAUAGUCAGAAGUGAAAGCCCGGGGCUCAACCCCGGAACUGCCUUUGAGACUGGAUUGCUAGAAUCUUGGAGAGGCGAGUGGAAUUCCGAGUGUAGAGGUGAAAUUCGUAGAUAUUCGGAAGAACACCAGUGGCGAAGGCGGCUCGCUGGACAAGUAUUGACGCUGAGGUGCGAAAGCGUGGGGAGCAAACAGGAUUAGAAACCCGUGUAGU